GACGAACGCUGGCGGCGUGCUUAACACAUGCAAGUCGAACGAGUGGCGAACGGGUGAGUAACACGUGGGUGAUCUGCCUUGCACUUCGGGUUAAGCUUGGGAAACUGGGUCUAAUACCGGAUAGUGCAAGAUGAGCUCGCGGCCUAUCAGCUUGUUGGUGGGGUAAUGGCUACCAAGGCGCGACGGGUAGCCGGCCUGAGAGGGUGUACGGCCACAUGGGGACUGAGAGACGGCCAAGACUCCUACGGGAGGCAGCAGUGGGGAAUAUUGAACAAUGGGCGGAAGCCUGAUGCAGCGACGCCGCGGUAAUAC
rnacentral:rRNA from 1 species